UCUGGCUUGCAUUCAGCCAUUCGGUUGUUAAUUACCUGGUUUUUGGCACCAGACUGGGCCGAUUCUGGGCAUUUUGGCUGCCGAAGGGUGCAUUUGUGGGUCGAGUGCGUCGAGGCGUUCGGUCAAGUGGCAUGAGCCUGGUUUUGAGGCCAUUCCGCAAGGAUAUGGUACCCAAACUGGGGGAAUGCUAUUUUCGCUGGGCGACCAAAGAGCAUGGCACACGGGUUUGAAUUUGUUUCAUGUUGAUCGCCGGUUACGGUCGCGUGCGACACGUGCUGGUUGUUGGCUUGAACGGGUUCCGACUCUCGUGCUUGUCCUCGAUGUAAAAGCUGGUCAUCUGUCCGACCCGUCUUGAAACACGGACCAAGGAGUUUAGCGUGUUCGCGAGUCAUUGGGUAUUGAAAACCCAAGGGCGAAAUGAAAGUGAAGGUACUCGCAAGAGGCUGACGUGUGAUCCUGCGCACCUCGGUGCGCAGGCGCAACAUGGCCCCGUCCCGACUGCAUGCAGUGGGGCGGAGGCAGAGCGUAUGCGCUGAGACCCGAAAGAUGGUGAACUAUUCCUGAGCAGGAUGAAGCC
rnacentral:rRNA from 1 species